rnacentral:rRNA from 1 species
UACGAAGGGGGCUAGCGUUGCUCGGAAUCACUGGGCGUAAAGGGUGCGUAGGCGGGUCUUUAAGUCAGGGGUGAAAUCCUGGAGCUCAACUCCAGAACUGCCUUUGAUACUGAGGAUCUUGAGUUCGGGAGAGGUGAGUGGAACUGCGAGUGUAGAGGUGAAAUUCGUAGAUAUUCGCAAGAACACCAGUGGCGAAGGCGGCUCACUGGCUCGUUUCGUGACGCUCAGGCGCGACAGCGUGGGGAUCAACAGG